rnacentral:sRNA from 1 species
GCUUAGCCCUGAUAGCAGUGGAAAUCCUUUUUAAUUUUGUUCGGAGCUUGCGGAGUGCAAAAUUAAAAAGAUUGCAACGAAUAGCAGGAACUAGC